CCUAGGGGAGGCAGCAGUGAGGAAUAUUGGUCAAUGGGCGGGAGCCUGAACCAGCCAAGUCGCGUGAGGGAAGACGGUCCUAUGGAUUGUAAACCUCUUUAGGCGGGGAGCAAUGCCGGGCACGCGUGCCCGGAGGGAGAGUACCCGCAGAAUAAGCAUCGGCUAACUCCGUGCCAGCAGCCGCGGUAAUACGGAGGAUGCGAGCGUUAUCCGGAAUUAUUGGGCGUAAAGGGUGCGUAGAUGGCAUAGUAAGUCUUUUGUAAAAAUGCUGGGCUCAACCCAGUAGGGCAAAAGAUACUGCAAAGCUAGAGUAUGACAGAGGCAAGUGGAACUACAUGUGUAGCGGUAAAAUGCGUAAAUAUAUGUAAGAACACCAGUGGCGAAGGCGGCUUGCUGGGUCGAUACUGACAUUGAGGCACGAAAGCGUGGGGAGCAAACAGGAUUAGAUACCCCGGUAGUC
rnacentral:rRNA from 1 species